rnacentral:ncRNA from 1 species
CGAAGGUUUGGUCCUGACUACGCUGUCGAUUUUGACUAAAUUUACACAUGCAAGUAUCCGCGAUCUCGUGAAGUUUAUAUUAGCCAUCUUAUUGAUUCUAAAAAAUGAUAUCAGGCACAAAAAUUAGCCCAUGACAUCAGGCUUAGCCACACCCCCAAGGGAACUCAGCAGUGAAAGAUAUUAAGCCAUAAGCAAAAGCUUGACUUAGUUAUAGUCUUUAGGGCCGGUAAAACUCGUGCCAGCCACCGCGGUUAUACGAGAGGCUCAAACUGACAGCAAGCGGCGUAAAGCGUGUUUUAAGAAACAAUAAACUAAAGUGGAACUCAUUCAAGACUGUUAUACGUUUUUGAAGGGAGGAAAACCUUUUACGAAAGUAACUUUAAAUGCCUUGAACACACGAAAGCUGCGGAACAAACUGGGAUUAGAUACCCCACUAUGCACAGCCUUAAACUUUAAUAUAAUGUCACACAUAUAUUCGCCAGGGUAUUACAAGCAUAAGCUUAAAACUCAAAGGACUUGGCGGUGCUUUAGUCCCACCUAGAGGAGCCUGUUCUAUAACCGACAACCCCCGUUAAACCCCACCUUAUCUUGCAUUUCCGCCUAUAUACCACCGCCGUCAGCUAACCCUGUGAGGGACAACAAGUAAGCAAGACUGAUAUAAUCCAAAACGUCAGGUCGAGGUGUAGCAUACGAUAAGGUAAGAAAUGGGCUACAUUUCCUGCCGCAGGAAAUACGGACACCAUUAUGAAAAUAAGCAUUGAAGGAGGAUUUAGCAGUAAGUGGGGAAUAGAGAGCCCUACUGAAGCUGGCCCUGAAGCACGCACAUACCGCCCGUCAAUCUCCCUGACUCAGAGCAUUUAAUACUUAAUACCACAUCAUAAGAAAAGGGAGGAAAGUCGUAACAUGGUAAGUUUACCGGAAGGUGAACUUGGUUAAAC